rnacentral:rRNA from 1 species
GACGAACGCUGGCGGCGUGCUUAACACAUGCAAGUCGAACGGAAAGGCCCUGCUUUUGUGGGGUGCUCGAGUGGCGAACGGGUGAGUAACACGUGAGUAACCUGCCCUUGACUUUGGGAUAACUUCAGGAAACUGGGGCUAAUACCGGAUAGGAGCUCCUGCUGCAUGGUGGGGGUUGGAAAGUUUCGGCGGUUGGGGAUGGACUCGCGGCUUAUCAGCUUGUUGGUGGGGUAGUGGCUUACCAAGGCUUUGACGGGUAGCCGGCCUGAGAGGGUGACCGGCCACAUGGGGACUGAGAUACGGCCCAGACUCCUACGGGAGGCAGAAGGGGGAAAUAUUGCACAAUGGGGGGACGCCGGAGGCAGCAACGCCGCGGGCGGAAUGACGGCCUUCGGGGUGUAAACCGCUUUCGCCUGUGACGAAGCGGGAGUGACGGUAAUGGGUAAAGAAGCACCGGCUAACUACGUG